ACGUGAAGCUUGCAGCUCCCACUACAUCGCUCUGACCAAGAAGGGUAAAAGAAUAGCAAAGAAACAGCACUAACAAAGUUUAGACCCAUAAAUUUUGAAGGUCUAGCUACCAUAUUAUUACCCACAAGGGUAAAGGAACAGUACCACUGCUGGAUAAUUGGAAAGUCCCUGUGUGUCAACCUCUGUGCUUCGUGGCAAGGUAGACUAGCAAACAUGCCCAACCUUUACUCCACAUUCGAGAAAACACUCCCAAUAAGAUUGCUUGCUCCAAAAAUCGAAGAGGCACCGUCCUCCGAAUCUCGAGAGCUAGACUCCCAACAUGACUACUUUCUUAAAAAAUCGAAGAGAGGGUAAAGGAACAGUACCAUUGCUGGAUAAUUGGAAAGUCCCUGUGUGUGUCAACCUUUUGUGCUUCGUGGCAAGGUAGACUAGCAAACAUGCCCC
rnacentral:lncRNA from 1 species